rnacentral:rRNA from 1 species
AUACGUAGGGGGCGAGCGUUGUCCGGAAUUACUGGGCGUAAAGGGUGCGUAGGCGGCCGAUUAAGUCAGAUGUGGAAUACCAGGGCUCAACCCUGGGGGUGCAUUUGAAACUGGUUGGCUUGAGUGCAGGAGAGGAAAGCGGAAUUCCUAGUGUAGCGGUGAAAUGCGUAGAGAUUAGGAGGAACACCAGUGGCGAAGGCGGCUUUCUGGACUGUAACUGACGCUGAGGCACGAAAGCGUGGAGAGCAAACAGGAUUAGAUACCCUGGUAGUCCACGCCGUAAACGAUGGAUACUAGGUGUAGGGGGUUAUGAUACCCUCUGUGCCGGAGUUAACGCAAUAAGUAUCCCGCCUGGGGAGUACGGCCGCAAGGUUGAA